UUUCUUUUACAUCCAUUAUCCGCCCGGGAACUACGAGCAUUAGCUUAAAACCCAAAGGACCUGGCGGUGCUUAAGACCCCCCUAGAGGAGCCUGUUCUAGAACCGAUAAUCCCCGUUCAACCUCACCCUCUCUUGCUUAUUCAGCCUAUAUACCGCCGUCGUCAGCCCACCCUGUGAAGGAUUAAUAGUGAGCAAAAUUGGCAUAGCCUAAAACGUCAGGUCGAGGUGUAGCAUAUGGGAGGGGAAGAAAUGGGCUACAUUCUCUAACAAUAGAGCAUACGGAUAAUAUAUUGAAACAUAUAUUUUAAGGUGGAUUUAGUAGUAAGUAGGAAAUAGAGUGUCCUGCUGAACCCGGCCCUAAAGCAUGCACACACCGCCCGUCACCCUCUGCAGUCAACA
rnacentral:rRNA from 1 species